AUCGAUGAAGAAUCAUUACCGAGUGAGGGUCCCUCGGGGCCCAACCUCCCAUCCGUGUUGUCCUGACACCUGUUGCUUCGGCGGGCCCGCCGUGGUUCACGCCCCGGCCGCCGGGGGGUUCACGCGUGCCCCGGGCCCGCGCCCGCCGAAGACCCCUGGAACGCUGCCUGGAAGGUUGCCGUCUGAGUAUACAAUCAGUGUAUCAAUUAAAACUUUCAACAACGGAUCUCUUGGUUCCGGCAUCGAUGAAGAACGCAGCGAAAUGCGAUAAGUAAUGUGAAUUGCAGAAUUCCGUGAAUCAUCGAAUCUUUGAACGCACAUUGCGCCCCCUGGCUGAACUUAACGGGGGGCAUGCCUGUCCGAGCGUCAUUGCUAACCCUCCAGCCCGGCUGGUGUGUUGGGCCGCCGUCCCCCCUCCCCGGGGGACGGGCCCGAAAGGCAGCGGCGGCGUCGCGUCCGGUCCUCGAGCGUAUGGGGCUCUGUCACACGCUUCAGUAGAACCGGCCGGCUUGCUGGCCAUCACCUAUAUUUUUCUCUUAGGUUGACCUCGGAUCAGGUAGGGAUACCCGCUGAACUUAACCUCGGGG
rnacentral:rRNA from 1 species